rnacentral:rRNA from 1 species
GACGAACGCUGGCGGCGUGCUUAACACAUGCAAGUCGAACGGAAAGGCCCUGCUUUUGUGGGGUGCUCGAGUGGCGAACGGGUGAGUAACACGUGAGUAACCUGCCCUUGACUUUGGGAUAACUUCAGGAAACUGGGGCUAAUACCGGAUAGGAGCUCCUGCUGCAUGGUGGGGGUUGGAAAGUUUCGGCGGCUGGGGAUGGACUCGCGGCUUAUCAGCUUGUUGGUGGGGUAGUGGCUUACCAAGGCUUUGACGGGUAGCCGGCCUGAGAGGGUGACCGGCCACAUUGGGACUGAGAUACGGCCCAGACUCCUACGGGAGGCAGCAGUGGGGAAUAGUGCACAAUGGGCGGAAGCCUGAUGCAGCAACGCCGCGUGCGGGAUGACGGCCUUCGGGUUGUAAACCGCUUUCGCCUGUGACGAAGCGUGAGUGACGGUAAUGGGUAAAGAAGCACCGGCUAACUACGUG